GUCAGAACCCAGGGGCUUUGCCUGAGGGAGGCAGGAGCCCAGGACAGGGUGUGCAGCACCUCAGGACUUUUGGGAGGUAAAUGAAAAGUAUUACUUCUCUUUUGGAUGAGGAAUUGCCAUGGUAGUACCAUCAGGAGCAGAUUUUUAGGAUCUCUUGAUUGAGGGUCUCCCACCCUUGGGAAAGAAGACUACACUACCUGUUUACAGAAGAAUCCUCUGUGUUUCAAUUGUCCUGCCUGAUGUCAGUGCUCUUAAGGUGAGGAGGGUGUGGUGCUACAAACUCACAGCCAAGAAUCAAAAUGGAUGGAUGGACAGGCAAAGAUGUAGUAAUAAGUGUAGGAUGAUCAACAAGGCCAAGGGUAAGAAGCUGUACUUGGGCUGGGGCAAGCCCAAACACAAAAACAGAUUGAGCAUACAGAAUGGAUUGAAAGCAGCCCUGGAGAGAAGAACCCCCAAGGCCUA